rnacentral:tRNA from 1 species
GCCCCGGUAGCUCAGCUGGAUAGAGCAGCCCCCUCCUAAGGGGCAGGUCAAAGGUUCGAAUCCUUUUCGGGGCACCA